ensembl:lncRNA
CGCGGCCCGCCGGAUUUAGAAGGAAUACAAAACGGCCAAGUUCGGCGCGGCGGAGAAAGACGAGGUCUCUUUUACCUGCACAGGCGGUUCGGGCCAACGUUGCUGAGAGCCGAGCAGAUGAUGAGGCGCUCCACAGCAAGCACAAGGCCAGUUCAUGCAGGACAUCCUGGGUGCCACCAUUUCUCAAGACUUUCUCAAGUAGAAGGGCAACACAGAUGUACUUUCAGAGCCACCUGAAGAAGUAUUCUGAUCAUGGAAUCCAUCCUGCGCUCCCCCAUAACAGAUUGGACUGGUCAGGAGCAGGACAGGAGCAGACAAGACGUUAAGGGAGAAGAAGCCACGCUGGAAGCACAUUGGCCUGGCACACAGACACGCUGUAAAGUCCAGCAUCCCUGCGUAAACAGAGCUUUGGGGUCUGAGCAAGUAAGAGGUCAAGCAGAUCACGGAGCUGGUGGCUGGUGGUGUGUUCCUGGUGGAUUCCAGAGACGACGUGGAUAAGACGCUGUCACGUCGACUGCUCUGCCCUUAAGAAAAAAGACGGUGAAUAACAUCCCACUGUGAGCAGCCAAAUCAGGACUGCACUCAACCGCUGAUGGGGUAAUGAAGAAGAAGAGGCACAUCUGCACUGCCACGUAACGUCCUUGGAGAAGGCCGCGCACAGGGCGCAUUAGCGCUGCAUUAGCACCGUAGCACCGUAGCGCUGCACAUGCAAUAACGUGCUGAGAGGAUAGGAAGAAUUGAGAAUGCAGUAACAAGAAGAUUGUGAAUAAUUGUACAGCUGAUAUUGAUUUAAAAAAACAGACAUUAAAUUCAACCAAAAAAUUGUGGGUACUGAAAAGGCCAACCAGGCUGGUCCAAUAUGAAUGUGAAAUUUAGUAUCUAUGACCACACAGCAAGGCUAAUUCAUCCAAAAAAAAACUAAGACAAUUGCAUGGCAAUGAUGUGCAUCUUAAGAUCACGACUUAAUCUUUUCACCAUUUCACGCUAGUCAUACGUUUCUGACUUGGCCGAAUGCAGCAGGUGUAUUUGAAUAUAUACCAAUUCCUUUUUUAUUACUUGUGCAAGCAUAAAUGCAUUGGUAACGAUAUAAUUCCCUGACAUAAUGUCUCCUCAAGUGACAGACACUUGCAUGAAAAUUGUCGGUCACUGACAGACACGACUCUAUUUCUGCUUGUGUUAACACCUGAUUGAAGUAUUAAGGAAUACAUUCAUCUACGAUGCUGUAUCUAGCAACGGAUUAUCUCAAUCUAAACCAAUCAGUUCAAACCAAACUAAAAACAAUCAAACAGUCUCUUGAGAACAACUUUGUUUUUCUCGAGAUCAUGAUAGCCAAAAUGGAGGCGCAAUUGUUAUGUUGCCACAGCAAUAACAUUUUCAUCAUAAACGAUUCUACAAAAAAAAAAAGACUGCUUUAAGACCAAGUACCCAUAGCUCUUGAACCGUGUGCCAAGCUGGCAUCACAGAUCCUCCUUACGAUGCGGUAGCAGACAUGGGCACAGAUGUUGGUUGAGAACGGUCAUGGACCGGGAAGACAAAGCAGCAGGUGUUCCCAUUUUCAUUAAUGUGCUUGAAGAAAGCAGAGCAGCCUCUUUCGUAACCAUUCAUAAUAAAGCACUAAAGACAUAAAUUGUUUGUCCAGGUUCUUUCCUCAAUCAUAUGUUAAUGAUGCCGAAUGAUUUGUCUUUGUAAUAUCUGUUUGGUUUUACUGUGUACAAAACAGUGGGGCGCGUGCACCAAAAAACACGUGCAAGCUCGGCAGUCGCUCGGCUCGGCUCGGCCUGCCCCCCUCUGCGGAGAAACUGCAGACAAACAAACAAUCAGGGGUCAAGGCGCGAUGACACCAUUUCACAUGACAGCACAGCGAGAAAUUAAUUAGAGGGGAGAGGGCUGCGCGAUAGUGGUACUACCUUCAGUGCGCGCCAGCAAAACCCUACAGACAUGGCCUGAAGGCACUGCUCACCUCCAGAGAUGAAAAGAAAAGCAAGGAGGGCACAGCGUGGUCAACUUCAACAUCAGGGUCUGAAGGGAACAGCCAAACCGCGGUACAAGAAGAGUGGCUGGAGUUCACUCGGCGUUGUUAUCUGUGUCAACUGUGUCAUGCGCAGAAAGCAAGAAAGCCCCAAAUUGUUCCCCUGGUAGCUGAAAUUAAUACAACAGUGUAAAGAGCUUAGAACCAAGCACUCCAAAGUGUCUAUCUGCAUCCAACACUCACACACAGAGGAUUGGCUUUGCUCUUUGUCACAGAACCAAAUGUUUGGAUGUCAGCAUGCAUUACAACUGCAAAGGGAUCAUCUUUUCAACAGAAGAAUUACAAAGAGGCACAAACCACAGAAAAACACCCACACUGAAAAACCAUGUGAUUAUGGUCGAUGAUGGGAUUUGGGGGGAAUAUAUGACAUUUAAAGUGAUGUAGCUGUAAAGUUAUCAACUGAAAAAAAAUAAUGUAAAAAAUAUUCUGAAUAAAUAGAAGGGGCAGAGGUGGCCUAGUGGUUAAGGAAGUGACCCCGUAAUCAUAAGGUUGCCGGUUUGAAUCCCAAUCCGCCAAGGUACCACUGAGGUGCCACUCAGCAAAGCACCGUCUCCACACACACUGCUCCCUGGGCUUCUUUCAUCAGGAAAGAACAGCAGUUGCCCAUAAUGGUUUAUUU